CUUAUUAGAUUUUGCUUCCCAUAAACUUUGUACAUCUUUUGCUUCAAGUAUUCCUUAAGAGUUCUCUUCAAAUUCGAGUUCUUGCCUACGAAGUUGUGCUGGAAACUCUCGAUCUAGUUCCCCUUCCGUGUAUGCCGGUGAGAGGAGAGUCCUGGAAAGACAAGCGCACACCCGCAUUUGGUGUCCAGGAUCACCUUCAGAACGCACCUCAAGCCCCUCUCAUCUUCGCUCGCUUGUCUCCGUGGAAUCACAGCUCUUCCGUCGCAGACCAGGCCUUGCUGUGUGCCUUCCGUGGCUCACACCCUCGUGUAACUGAUGCUGACCUGAGCUAUGUUUUAUUUCUGCUCAGCUUGCGACCCUUCCAAUUUUUAGCACAGUGCAUUGGACAAAAUGGAAAACUAAAGCUUUUUUUUAAGUUAAUGAAUGAUGACUGUAUGUACUGAGCCAUGAUAACACAAAAUACCCGUACCAGAAUGUGUGCGCGAGUCCUCGGGUGUACAGACAGACAGACCCCUCUCUCUACACAGAUGUCAAGCCUGGCAUCCUAACCCCAGUUUCACGUAACCUCAGGGUGUGCUUCAUGCAGCUUUGCUGGUGAGAAAGGCGCCCUGGGCCUGCCUCGUCAGGCCGGUGGCUGACGUUAGCUGUGCAAGUAGCUGUUAUCAUGACAGCAGCCAUGAAUGUUGCUCUUCAUUCCGCGGAUGCAGUAGGAGAACAAUGUAUAAUUCUGUGAUUGCAAUUGAUAACCUAACAUAUAACCUUUCAUGAAGUAUUUAGGAAACAGUACGUUUUUGUUUAUUUAAAGGAGGGAAGCACGACCUCAUAUAACUUACACAUUUAACUUACCAAAGAAUCACAAAUCACCUCCCUUCACCCCCUUCACCCUUCCUAUUUACAAAGACUGUUUCCAUUUUUCAUAUUUUUUUCCUUUUCUCUUACUUCCUUUCCCUUCCCCUUUCCACUUCCCCUUUAGCCAUUUUCUUCCUAUUUCACACUAUCAGUUAUACCAUUUGAACCUUAUUUACACUUUUAGUUUUUCACACCAGUUGGUAUUUACUCAACUGUGUCCUAUUUAUUUCACUGAAGAGUAUGGCCUCAAUGUGCAUCCAUUUAGCUAUAAAUUUCUCUAGGUUCUCAUCCUUAUGGCUGAGUAGUAAUAUUCCAUUUUAU
rnacentral:lncRNA from 1 species